CUCAUUAUAACUUGAAACCAAAUUUACUCAACAGACACCUCGUAAAUUAUUUGCUUCAUAGCUUAAAAUGUGUUUUAUGGAUGAGUGUCUAAUGUUACUUUGUGUCCUGGUUUUCUCUUAAACAACAGCUGAUGACCUUAUUUAGGGAGAAGGCGAGACAUUAACAAAUGAUUUGAUUAUUGUGCUUAUGUAGAAGCUAAUAAAGAAUUGCAAUUGACUGAAUUAUGUUUGGAUAAAUUAGGUUUAUUUAGUUUGUUGAAGUGAAUUAUUAAAGGAUAAUUUAUAAAUAAUUCUAGGUUUUCCCAUCAGUAAUGAUAAUGAUGCUGACAUCAGGGAACACUGAUAUCAUCAUGGAACAGCCAGACGAUCCGACCAAUUGAAAACCAGCCCACAGUAUAGCCAGAUUAUUGAAGCCACUAUAUUUAAAGACAAAAUCAAAAGUGAGCACACGUAAAAUCUCACUAAUAUUGUUGAUAGCACACGCAAACUGUGUGUUGUGCACUAGGGCUGUCACUCUUUCAGAAAUCCCAAGUUAGAACCAAUUAGAACUAACACAUAAUUUGUUUUAAUUUAUGCGGAAACGCAAUCUAAUCCUAAACCAUGUUGUAGAAUACACGUUCCGUUCAUUCGAUGCCUCUGCUGCCUCACUUGAGCAACAAGCUAAGGUUACUGUGAUUCAGGGCAAGAGGACAGGCGAUGGAUUGGACGACCAUUUGAAGAAAAUACAACACUGCCUGUUGCACUUAUACACUGCAAAUUUGGAUUUCAAACACAUAAUUAAAGAUUAAAUGUUUUCUAACUUCCCAUUUUUGGAUGGUAGUUCGAAUUUGAAAUACAAAGUGACAGCCUUGGUCCACACAACUUCUAGUAAGUGGAGCACGUCAAAGCUGAAUGGGAAAGUCAGUCUGUAAAGUGAGAGCUGAAGGUUUGUGUGAAACCUGUGGUCUGAUUAUCUGACUAUAUUUCUUAUCUUACAUCUUUUAAAGAUUAUUUUUAGGGCUUUCGUUGCCUUCAGGAUUUCGUACAAUUGGUAAGAAAGAAAGAAAUAGAGACAAAAAUUAUCUGUUUUGCCUGACUUCCUUGCAUGUCUGACAAGCUCACCAUGACAACCAGACUCCAGGAAGUCACUGCGCCCGGUCAAGAACUAGUCCCACACGUAACCCUAAGUAUAUUGUGUCGCUUUGCCAGACCUUCCUCCACGGCGCUGCAGAGGAGGGUGUGGCGAGUCCACACACCAUUCCGGGAUGAAAGGAAAGCGUGCUAUUAGCAUUUUUUUUAAACCAAUUACAAUCGUCAUGGGCACGCCUCAGGAAGGAACUUGCUUUGGUGGAACCUUGUUCUAUAGCUGGAACAUGUUUUAGUCGCGCAACAGAAAACUCAGAUUGGACAGAUAGUCUAGCUAGCUGUCUGGGUUUACCCUGCAGAAAUCUGAGGAAAAAAAUCAACCGGAGUUUCAAAUGGCAACACAAAGGAAGCGCAAGGCAAUGAAUAUCCGGCCUAAAUGAGUGAAACCCGCCGGAAUGUCCGGUGGCAACGGAGCGAUCCCGAAAGUGACAAAGUGACAAAGACCACAGCUUGUUCAACCAACUAACAUAUAACGAGUAAAUUAGUGAUCUUUAGAGAUGCUGGUUUAUUUAUUUAUUUUUUUUACCAAUGAAGAAUACACAAGAAUUGUCCUACAAAGUGAAGCAUUGGUGGACUAUGAAGAACAGGACGCAUUACCUCUAAUCUGGUGAACUGUAUUUUGUUAUGUGCUAACUCUUAUAGUCAUUAGCUACAGUGAGCAUUCAUGACACAAACAAAAGCUGUAGGUGUUUGUACUUGGCUAAAAACAAUCUUUUUCUGCAGUAGCUAUAGAAGUCUGAUGAAUGAAUACUUGUUGUUAUGUUACAUUCAUACUAGUAUAAGUGUCUGCUUUAGCCAUUUGGAAAUAUCUCAAUGCACAGCUUAAUAAAAGUGUAUGUGUCCAUUUCC